AGUGAACGCUGGCGGUGGGCCUAACACAUGCAAGUCGAACGGCAGCACAGUAAGAGCUUGCUCUUACGGGUGGCGAGUGGCGGACGGGUGAGGAAUACAUCGGAAUCUACUUUUUCGUGGGUGAUAACGUAGGGACACUUACGCUACUACCGCAUACGACCUACGGGUGAAAGCAGAGGAUCUUCGGACCUUGCGCGAUUGAAUUAGCCGAUGUCGGAUUGGCUAGUUGGCGGGGUAAAGGCCCACCAAGCCAACGAUCCGUAGCUGGUCUGAGAGGAUGAUCAGCCACACUGGAACUGAGACACGGUCCAGACUCCUACGGGAGGCAGCAGUGGGGAAUAUUGGACAAUGGGCGCAAGCCUGAUCCAGCCAUACCGCGUGGGUGAAGAAGGCCUUCGGGUUGUAAAGCCCUUUUGUUGGGAAAGAAAAGCAGCAGGUUAAUACCCCGCUGUUCUGACGGUACCCAAAGAAUAAGCACCGGCUAACUUCGUG
rnacentral:rRNA from 1 species